rnacentral:rRNA from 1 species
AACGCUGGCGGCGUGCUUAACACAUGCAAGUCGAACGGAAAGGCCAGUGCUUGCACUGGUACUCGAGUGGCGAACGGGUGAGUAACACGUGGGUGAUCUGCCUUGUACUCUGGGAUAAGCUUGGGAAACUGGGUCUAAUACCGGAUAAUAACUGCCUUUAGUGUGGUGGUUGGAAAGUUUUUUCGGUGCAAGAUGAGCUCGCGGCCUAUCAGCUUGUUGGUGGGGUAAUGGCCUACCAAGGCGUCGACGGGUAGCCGGCCUGAGAGGGUGUACGGCCACAUUGGGACUGAGAUACGGCCCAGACUCCU